rnacentral:rRNA from 1 species
UGCUGGGUGAUAAGUGCGAACGGGUGAGUGAACACGUGAGUAACCUGCCCGGACUUCGGGAAACUCCGGGAAACCGGGGGCUAAUACUGGAUAUGACCGUCCUCGCAUGGGGUGGUUGGAAAGUUUUUCGGUCAGGGAUGGGCUCGCGGCCUAUCAGCUUGUUGGUGGGGUGAUGGCCUACCAAGGCGACGACGGGUAGCCGGCCUGAGAGGGCGACCGGCCACACUGGGACUGAGACACGGCCCAGACUCCUACGGGAGGCAGCAGUGGGGAAUAUUGCACAAUGGGCGCAAGCCUGAUGCAGCGACGCCGCGUGAGGGAUGAAGGCCUUCGGGUUGUAAACCUCUUUCAGCAGGGAAGAAGCGCAAGUGACGGUACCUGCAGAAGAAGCGCCGGCUAACUACGUGCCAGCAGCCGCGGUAAUACGUAGGGCGCAAGCGUUGUCCGGAAUUAUUGGGCGUAAAGAGCUCGUAGGCGGUUUGUCGCGUCUGGUGUGAAAACUCGAGGCUCAACCUCGAGCUUGCAUCGGGUACGGGCAGACUAGAGUGCGGUAGGGGAGACUGGAAUUCCUGGUGUAGCGGUGGAAUGCGCAGAUAUCAGGAGGAACACCGAUGGCGAAGGCAGGUCUCUGGGCCGCAACUGACGCUGAGGAGCGAAAGCAUGGGGAGCGAACAGGAUUAGAUACCCUGGUAGUCCAUGCCGUAAACGUUGGGCACUAGGUGUGGGGCUCAUCCCCGAGUUCCGUGCCGCGCAACGCUU